rnacentral:rRNA from 1 species
GAUGAACGCUGGCGGCGUGCCUAAUACAUGCAAGUCGAGCGAACAGACGAGGAGCUUGCUCCUCUGACGUUAGCGGCGGACGGGUGAGUAACACGUGGAUAACCUACCUAUAAGACUGGGAUAACUUCGGGAAACCGGAGCUAAUACCGGAUAAUAUAUUGAACCGCAUGGUUCAAUAGUGAAAGACGGUUUUGCUGUCACUUAUAGAUGGAUCCGCGCCGCAUUAGCUAGUUGGUAAGGUAACGGCUUACCAAGGCAACGAUGCGUAGCCGACCUGAGAGGGUGAUCGGCCACACUGGAACUGAGACACGGUCCAGACUCCUAGGGGAGGCAGAAGUAGGGAAUCUUCCGCAAUGGGCGAAAGCCUGACGGAGCAACGCCGCGUGAGUGAUGAAGGUCUUCGGAUCGUAAAACGCUGUUAUUGGGGAAGAACAAAUGUGUAAGUAACGAUGCACGUCUGGACGGUACCUAAUCAGAAAGCCACGGCUAACUACGU